ACCGUGCCUUGAAAGUAAAAUUGCAAAUAAACAGCUUACCGCCGCUAUUUAAUUUGCGCCGUUAAAUUAUUGUCACCUUUGCACCGUUUUUUUUUAUUUAUGCGAAAUAAAAGAUUUUGUCAUGUAUUAUAUUGCGAAUCGUGAAAAAAAUAUAAAUGUCAAAUAAUCAAAUGUCAGUGACAUAAUAGAUAUGACAAUAGUAAAACACAAUAUUUUGCUAAGGAUAUAUAAUAUUAUUAAUGCUUACGAUGUCGUUCCAUUUGAUUGUAUUUCAGUAUUAACUGUUGUACCGCUGGACUGGUCUCAAGUAGGUCUUGAAGCUAGCUCCCGACCUGUGUAACGAGACGAGUGUCAUCUCCGAAUAUGUACAAGCUUUUGCAAGUGGGUUUAACUGUAAACACAUGGCUACAUCAGUUGAAUAACAUUAUAGCAAGUUUAUAAUUAUACUAGCUAGUCCCGCGGCUUUGCCUCAUUACCCGAACCCAAACCUAUAUCUAUUUAUAUAAUAAAACUAUAAGUGGGCAAUGCCUGAACAGGCAAGAAAAUGUACAUAGGCGAUAUUAAAGAAAAAUAAUAUAAUAAUAAUAAUAACGGAGAGUCAUUAUAGGACUAAUAGUAAUGAAUCAAAGUGGCUAUGGCAAAACUAAAUUUCUAUUUGUCUCAGUUUAUUUCGGAAGUGUGGUGCGCUUACGAUACGAUAUCACGAUACAAUAUUUCAUAGUAUCCAGCUUAGCACUCGAUAUUUGAAUUUUGGUGAUGCCUAUGCGUUAUAACUAUAAGCAAGACAUGAUGGAGCACCCAGGAUCGGCUCCCAGCGUGGGAGCUCCUCAACAGUUUACAGGACAGACAUGAUUUUUUGUGACGUUUUUGUUUUGAAUAAAACAAGAUC